rnacentral:rRNA from 1 species
GUGGGGAAUAUUGCACAAUGGGCGAAAGCCUGAUGCAGCAACGCCGCGUGAAGGAAGAAGGGUUUCGGCUCGUAAACUUCUAUCAACAGGGACGAAAAAAAUGACGGUACCUGAAUAAGAAGCCCCGGCUAACUACGUGCCAGCAGCCGCGGUAAUACGUAGGGGGCAAGCGUUAUCCGGAAUUACUGGGUGUAAAGGGAGAGUAGGCGGCAUGGUAAGUUAGAUGUGAAAGCCCGAGGCUUAACCUCGGGAUUGCAUUUAAAACUAUCAAGCUAGAGUACAGGAGAGGUAAGUGGAAUUCCUAGUGUAGCGGUGAAAUGCGUAGAUAUUAGGAAGAACACCAGUGGCGAAGGCGACUUACUGGACUGAAACUGACGCUGAGGCUCGAAAGCGUGGGGAGCGAACAGGAUUAGAAACCCUGGUAGUCC